CAAUUCAUAUAUUAACGAUGAGUGGUACAAUAUGCUGUGAGCUUAAAACUGUACAAGCGGUAAAGAAUAUAUGCAAUGAUCUCGAAACUGUGCAAAAAAUUAACGACAAAAAUAUAUCUGUUCCUGUUUUUUUAAAUUUUGUUCAAAUAUUUGGGACUUUAUAUUUGCAUAAAUAGUUCUAGUAUGAAUUGUUUGGGUGCGCUUAAAGGCUUUUGCUGUUAGACUAUGGUGAUCUAUUACAAUUAUCGGCAACUAGAAUUAAUCCGUUUUUGAGAUCCGGCUCGAAUGUCACUUUUUUGAUUUUUUUUGACACAAAUUGGUAAUGUUCGAUGACCCGAUUUUGAAACUGUAUGGAGUAUAUAAUUA